UACGGGGGGAGCAAGCGUUGUUCGGAUUUACUGGGCGUAAAGGGCGCGUAGGCGGCCUGUGCAAUUCAGUUGUGAAAUCUCCGGGCUUAACUCGGAAAGGGCAACUGAUACUGCUCGGCUAGAGUCCGGAAGAGGAGAGUGGAAUUCCCGGUGUAGCGGUGAAAUGCGCAGAUAUCGGGAAGAACACCCGUGGCGAAGGCGGCUCUCUGGGACGGUACUGACGCUGAGACGCGAAAGCGUGGGGAGCGAACAGG
rnacentral:rRNA from 1 species